UUACCGGACCGACAGCAAUAUGAAGGCCAGGCGUGAAGACUUUGCCGGAUUAGCUGAGAGGUGGUGCAUGGCCGUCGUCAGUUCGUACUGUGAAGCAUCCUGUUAAGUCAGGCAACGAGCGAGACCCACGCCCACAGUUGCCAGCGUACUCUCUGGAGUGACGGGUACACUGUGGGACCGCCGCUGCUAAAGCGGAGGAAGGAAUGGGCAACGGUAGGUCAGUAUGCCCCGAAUAUCCCGGGCUACACGCGAGCUACAAUGGUUGGUACAAUGGGUAUCUACCCCGAAAGGGGACGGGAAUCUCCUAAAACCAAUCUUAGUUCGGAUUGAGGGCUGCAACUCGCCCUCAUGAAGCUGGAAUCCGUAGUAAUCGCGUUUCAACAGAACGCGGUGAAUACGUCCCUGCUCCUU
rnacentral:rRNA from 1 species